rnacentral:lncRNA from 1 species
UUGAAUGGCAUACACGGCUCCAAGUUGUCUUCCUUCUUCUCCUUGCAAACUCACGGCACAAUGAGGGAUGAUUGGUGAAUGGUGUAGUGAAAAUCUGGUAGAGGGUGGUGAAUGAAUAGGUGCGGCAAUGGGUUGUAUAUAUAGGCUGAAAAUUCACAUUCCUAGGUAGCAAAGGACAAGGUUUUAAAGGCCUAAAUUGCAUAGGAUAAUAACAUCCAAUCCUAUAAGGAAAACAAGUCAAAAACCCAAAGGGAUUGGGAGAUAAUGUGCAGCAGAAAGAGUGUGAAAUGAUAAGGCUUCUAGAAACCAAAAUCCUAAAGGAAAUAAGGUAGAAAAUUCGGCACAAAGUUAGGGUUCUAGAAGGAUAAUACAAGGCAGAUUUUUAGGGGUUUCUAGAAAGGUUCUAGGCGCCCUUUUGUGUAGGAUAAGGUUAGGUCUUCUAGAAAUCCCAUUUUAAGCAUCCUAAUCUAGUUAGAAACCCCCCUAAUUGGCUGAAAUGUGGAUAGUUUAGGAUAAGGAUAAGAUAGGAUAGGAUGAGGUUUAUUUGAAUAAGAUAAGCUAAGAUAAGGUUAUGGAUGAGGUUUUGGAUAAGAUACCUUAUCUUGAGCUGAUUCUUUGGCUUUAAUUCGUCUUCUUCAUGUAGGAAACCUUGCUUGAGUAGGAAACUUCAUACAUCUAGGAAUCCAUCUUCAAUUAGGACUCCUAUAUUGAUUAGGAAUCCUUCAUUCAAGCCAUUUCCUUCUUCAACUAGGUAACUUUGUAUCUUCAAUUCUUCAACUUUGAAACGCCUUCUUAGCUUCACCAAUUCCUCAAAUUCGUCCAUCCCUUGUGCUUCAUGUGCAUGAACUCCAUUUUAGCCCAAUUUUGCUCCAAAAUGCUCCAAAUUGCAUCCUUUUGCUCACUUUGUAUCUAAAACCUGAAAACACAUGAAAAUAGCUUAAAAGACUAACUUAACUAAGAAAACACAACAUAAAUGCAUAAGAACUAACUAACUAAGGCGCAUAAAUAUGCUCCUAUCAAUUGCUAAUGUAUAUAAAUUUUGAUUUGUAUAUGCAUGCUAGUCACUAGAAAUCCCACUUAAAUCUCAUUAUUUCCCUUCAAGUGGUAUCAGAGCCAAAGGUUUAUAUUUGAUGUGUCCUUUUGGAUUUUAUGCAUAUGGGUUUUAAUUUUAUGUUUGACAUAUUAUUUCUUCAUUCAAAAUAUGUUUAUCUUUUGUUUUUCAAAUGUUGAAAAAUGUUUUUCAAGAGUUGAAAAAGAUAUGUAUGCAAAAAGUGCUUUGGAUGCAUGAAUGAAGAGUGAGUUUUUUUUAACAAAAUUUGGGGCUUAUGUACCAUAGGGGAGGGCACGGUUUUGGGGGGAUUUUUUGGCUUGUGUUUGUGUUUUCUUUUAAGUCACACACACACACUUUGAAGCUAGAAAGUAGAGGUCGUGUCACUUUUGUUUUUUUGGUUUGAAAAAUCACCAAGAAAGUACAAAUCUUGAAAUUGUUUUCAUGGUUUUAUUCUUGGUGUUCAUGGUUUUGAUUUUGGUGUAAAAGGUUUUGGUUUUGUGUUCAUACUUUGUUGUUUGAAUUUGGGUGAUAAACUUGCCAUCAAUAGCUUUCCAUUGAUUGACUCCAUCCUAGACUUGACUAGGAGACCUUACACCCCUCUUACCUUUUUAAGCCAACUUGCACAAGUGGGUGACAAGGAUAGCUAGGCCUUUGCUUUAUUUUGAAAUUUAGGGGACAUGUAUGACACACUCCCUCUCCCCCCAUCACAUAACUGGCCACCCUAUUGAUGGGUCCUCUAUGGGCUAUUUUGCAAUUUUAAAAGUUGAUUAUACUUUAUAGUAUUUGCGGUUUGACCCCUAACUUUUCAUAACUGCAUUUCGGCCCCACCUCUUUAUGAGAUUAAAAUGUUAUGAUUUUAAUUUUGUUUGUAGCUUAAACUCAUCAUAUAAUUAUGCCCAUAUGUACUAAGUCUAAUUGAUUAUGUUGCAUUCCAAUUUAAUUAUUUAAUGUGAUUAAGUAGUUAGUAAAAUGGUUGACUAUGGACUUGUGCCUUAAACGAUAAUUGAGCUAUGAGAAAGGCCGCUAAAUUCAAAUGGUUUGAACCUUGGGAAUGUGUUUUAAUUGCUAUUUCAAUUGGACCUCAACAUGUUAGACAUUAAUCUUUCUCUCCCUCUUAGUAUAUGUAAUUUGUAGGAAUUUGUACAAAUCGGUUUGUAAUUCUUAUUACUUCUUUAUCUCUUUCAAUUAGUUGAUUCCCUCUAGUACUAGACUAGAGUUUCUUUAACUAUUGGUAAAGAGACAUAUUAAAAGAAGUUUUUCAUGAGAUUAAAGAUUUGUUGGGUCCAACGCCCUAAUUAGCAAUGAAUGAUUGUCUUUCGUUUCUAAUGGCUCAAUGAAAAAUGUUUUAAUUGGAUUGAAAGCGCGUAAUUAAAACGUUACAUUCCUCCCUAGAUCUUAUUCAACAAUGUUGGCUCGUUGUUGAAUCAACCUAAUAAGUCCAUAGUCAUCCAAAGAGCCUAAGAUAACUAUAAAGUCCAAAUUUAAAGGAAGACAAAAACCUUGGUAGUAGUAGUUACUUCCAAUAUUUAAAAAAUGCGUUUUUGAUAUUGAUUUAUUUUUCUCAAAAACAAAUAGUGGGAGUAUCAUACGCUACUAAACUAAAAUGAAACAAUUAGUAGUAAUAUAUAUUUCCAAUAUUUUGAAAAUUGUUUUGCCAAAACGAAUAGUGGAGAUAUCAUAUGCUACUAAUUUCAUUUACUUUGGACUAGUAGUUAUAAUAGGACACAAUUUAUUUUAAUGUGAUUAAAUAAAUAAAAUGAUGAGACCUUAAAAUCCCUCAACCAACAUCCAAUAUUAAGUUGAAAGCGGAGAGGUGCUUUGAACACUUCUUCGUGGCCUUCCACCAUGGUAGGCUCCAAUCGUUUAUGACUCAUACAUCGCCUUCACCCUAUCAUGGGCGAGUUCAAAGUAUGUGCUUAUACUCAGGAGGAGUCUAUUUCAAACAUUUGAUGUGGCGAAGGUAGGCAACGAGUAUGGCCAACAUCGUAUCAUCGUGAGGUCGUACUUGAACCCCUAUCUAAACCGGCAUGGUGGGUCAAAACUUAACUAAGAGAAAUGGUGCCAACAUCAUAUCAUUGUGAGGUCAUUGUGUCUUGCCUUUAACAAAAGGCAAUCAUUCCUCUCUUGCUAAUUCAACUCCUUUGUAGCUGUCCAUGUGCCUUCAUUCUGCAAUUUCUGAUGCAUUUGCCUUGUAUUCCAUCCCUUUUCCACAUGUACUAGCUAUUAGACAACUUUCACACACAUGUUUUGCAUCAUUUCAUCUUGCAAACAUCAACUUUCGGCCACUUUACACCUCUACACACAUGCUAUGCAUCAUAUCAGCUUGCAAUUAUGUUUGUAGUUGCUGAAAAUGUGAACACAUCUUGUAAAGCAAUCCAACAAAUGGCAUCUUUCACUUCUUUUCCUUUCAAAUUGUUCCUUAAGUGUAUGUAUCUGCACACUUCCACACUUCAACUUCAUUAUUCAGAUUUUUGCAUGUGUUGAAACCUUUUUUAAAACACCAAAAACGUCCAUCUCACUUGCUCCAUAUGCAUGCAAUCCAUUUUGGCCCAAAAUUGCUCCAAAUUGCACCAAAAUGCACUUUCUUUCUAACUUUGUUAUUAGGACCUACAAACACACGAAAAUAGCUUAAAACACUCUUAUAAGCAAUAACUAACUAAGUAAAUGAAAGAAAACAUGUUAACUAAGUCGCAUAAAUAUGCUCCUAUCACCUACCUUCACCACAUGAAAUGUUUGAAAUAGACUCCUCCUGAGUAUAAGCACAUACUUUGAACUCCCCCAUGAUAGGGUGAAGGCGGUGUAUGAGUCAUAAACGAUUGGAGCCUACCAUGGUGGAAGGCCACAAAGAAGUGUUCAAAGCACCUCUCUGUUUUCAACUUAAUAUUGGAUGUUGGUUGAGGGAUUUUAGGGUCUCAUCAUUUUAUUUAUUUAAUCACAUUAAAAUAAAUUGUGUCCUAUUAUAACUAAUAGUCCAAAGUAAAUGAAAUUAGUAGCAUAUGAUAUCUCCACUAUUCGUUUUGGCAAAACAAAUCAAUAUCAAAACAAUUUUCAAAAUAUUGGAAAUAUAUAUUACUAUUAACUGUGUUCAUUUUAGUUUAGUAGCGUAUGAUACUCCCACUAUUUGUUUUUGAGAAAAACAAAUCAAUAUCAAAAACGAAUUUUUUCAAAUAUUGGAAGUAACUACUACUACCAAGGUUUUUGCCUUCCUUUAAAUUUGGACUUUAUAGUUAUCUUAGGCUCUUUGGAUGACUAUGGACUUAUUAGGUUGAUUCAACAAUGAGCCAACAUUGUUGAAUAAGAUCUAGGGAGGAAUGUAACGUUUUAAUUACGCGCUUUCAAUCCAAUUAAAACAUUUUUCAUUGAGCCAUUAGAAACGAAAGACAAUCAUUCAUUGCUAAUUAGGGCGUUGGACCCAACAAAUCUUUAAUCUCAUGAAAAACCCCUUUUAAUAUGUCUCUUUACCAAUAGUUAAAGAAACUCUAGUCUAGUACUAGAUGGAAUCAACUAAUUGAAAGAGAUAAAGAAGUAAUAAGAAUUACAAACCGAUUUGUACAAAUUCCUACAAAUUACAUAUACUAGGAGGGAGAGAAAGAUUAAUGUCUAACAUGUUGAGGUCCAAUUGAAAUAGCAAUAAAACACAUUCCCAAGGUUCAAACCAUUUGAAUUUAGUGGCCUUACUCAUAGCUCAAUUAUCGUUUAAGGCACAAGUCCAUAGUCAACCAUUUUACUAACUACUUAAUCACAUUAAAUAAUUAAAUUGGAAUGCAACAUAAUCAAUUAGACUUAGUACAUAUGGGCAUAAUUAUAUGAUGAGUUUAAGCUACAAACAAAAUUAAAAUCAUAACAUUUUAAUCUCAUAAAGAGGUGGGGCCGAAAUGCAAUUAUGAAAAGUUAGGGGUCAAACUGCAAAUACUAGAAAGUAUAAUCAACUUUUAAAAUUGUAAAAUAGCCCAUAGAGGACCCAUCAAUAGGGUGGCCGGUUAUGUGAUGGGGGAGAGGGAGUGUGUCAUACAUGUUCCCUAAAUUUCAAAAUAAAGCAAAGGCCUAGCUAUCCUUGUCACCCACUUGUGCAAGUUGGCUUAAAAAGGUAAGAGGGGUGUAAGGUCUCCUAGUCAAGUCUAGGAUGGAGUCAAUCAAUGGAAAGCUAUUGAUGGCAAGUUUAUCACCCAAAUUCAAACAACAAAGUAUGAACACAAAACCAAAACCUUUUACACCAAAAUCAAAACCUUUUGCAUACAUAUCUUUUUCAACUCUUGAAACACAUUUUUCAACAUUUGAAAAACAAAAGAUAAACAUAUUUUGAAUGAAGAAAAAAUAUGUCAAACAUAAAAUUAAAACCCAUAUGCAUAAAAUCCAAAAGGACACAUCAAAUAUAAACCUUUGGCUCUUGAUACCACUUGAAGGGAAAUAAUGAGAUUUAAGUGGGAUUUCUAGUGACUAGCAUGCAUAUACAAAUCAAAAUUUAUAUACAUUAGCAACGGAAGCAUGUUAUCAUAUAAUAUCAAAGCUAUAGUCAUGCAAAUCCCCUUCAAGAAGCAUAGGUUCAUAUAUAAUGCAUCUAAGAAAAUAUUGAAGAACAAAGCGAAGGUAUAGUUUUAUACCUCUUGAUCUAGACUUGAGGCCAAGGAUGGACCACCUCCAAGCUCUUUGUUCUUGGAACUCCUUGAGUCUAGCCUCCCUCCUAGCUUCCUCCACCUUGAAAGAUUUAGAGCUCCUUUCUCCUUUAGUCUCCAAAGUAGAAGACCUUUAAUGAUCCACACCCACUAAUGUAGUGAGAUGGAUAAUGGAAUAACCAAAGGGAGAGAAGAUGAUUAGCUAAAUUCCCUUUGGUGGCCGGCUUUGUGUGAGUGUAGAGAGAGAGAUGUUUUUUUCUUCUUUUGUGAAAAGAACACACAAAAACCUAAUGAAACUAUUUUACUAAACUUCCUUUAU